GAUCAUGGCUCAGGACGAACGCUGGCGGCGUGCUUAACACAUGCAAGUCGAACGGAACACCCUUGACAGAGGUUUCGGCCAAUGAAGAGGAAUGUUUAGUGGCGGACUGGUGAGUAACGCGUGAGGAACCUGCCUUUCAGAGGGGGACAACAGUUGGAAACGACUGCUAAUACCGCAUGAAGCAGCGAGGGGACAUCCCCUUGCUGUCAAAGAUUUAUCGCUGAAAAGAUGGCCUCGCGUCUGAUUAGCUAGUUGGUGGGGUAACGGCCCACCAAGGCGACGAUCAGUAGCCGGACUGAGAGGUUGACCGGCCACAUUGGGACUGAGAUACGGCCCAGACUCCUACGGGAGGCAGCAGUGGGGAAUAUUGGGCAAUGGACGCAAGUUCCUGACCCAGCAACGCCGCGUGAAGGAAGAAGGCUUUCGGGUUGUAAACUUCUUUUAACAGGGAAGAGAAGAAGACGGUACCUGUUGAAUAAGCCACGGCUAACUACGUGCCAGCAGCAGC
rnacentral:rRNA from 1 species